UUUAAAUAUAUUAUUAACAAAUAAAAAGACGAUGUUGCUGAGUUAGAAUUGACAAUGGUAGGAUUUGAGAAUUUCUUGAUAAAUUAACUAACCUUCUGAAGUUUCAUCUGACCCAUAAUCCAAGAUUUGCUCCAGAUCAACCUUGGAUAGGGUUCAAAAACCAUGGUGAAAAGUAAAAGGAACGUAACAGAGAGACGAGAGUCGUGUGUGGACCAGCCAUUGAAUUAAUAUUGAUGUAAAGCAAAAACUGGAAUUUCCUCGAACAAUCAAUGGGACAAUAAGCCAAAUAAAAAAGACUUUAUUACAUGAAAAUCAUGUGAUGACGACGACCAAUUCCAUACAAACCACAGGCUCGAUAGUGUGGAAUUGAAUUCCAGUGCCAUACAAGUGGGCUGUCUAAUACAAUUUACUUUCUCAACUUUUUCAUCGCAAAAGACAACAGUUAAUUGCUACUACAGCAACAACAAUCAUAAGAUCGAGUGUGUUGAUUCGUCUUGCAGUAUAAAGAGCAGUUUGUACAAAGCCAGCGGUAUACAAUUCAAAUGGGUUAAGCAGCUUCUCCAUAGCAGUAAUAAAGCUGAUCUUCAUGGUUUUAUUACUAGGGUGGUGGUGUCAUUUGUGUUUGGAGGAAGAGAGAAUUGCUCCAUUGGAAAUAAAAAAAUUUCCUUUUAACUACCCCUUCCAAUCCCAUGACGCCCUUAUGCACAAAUCUUCCAAUUCCCAACCCCUUGUUAAAGAAAGAUCGAGCGUGUUGAUUCGUCUUGUAGUAUAAAGAGCAGCUUGUACAAAGCCAGCUUUGUAUACAACCAAAAUUCCUCUAACUACCCAAACGGCGGCGAACACCUGCAAUCUUGGGGAAAAGAAGCCGGCAGUUGUAAUUGGGAAGGUAUUUCCAAUAGAGCAAUUCUCUCAUCCUCCAAACACAAAUGACACCACCACCCUAGUAAUAAAACCAUGAAUAUCAGCUUUAUCACUACUACAGAGAACCUGUUUAACCCAUUUGAAAUACUUGAUGAAUUAUAUUGUAUACCACUGGCUUUGCGCACUGAAGGGCUGCUCUUUAUAGGAGAAGAGCGCAGCACUGUACCCUACAGCCAGCGACGUUGCGUGUUCAUAUUAGGAAGGGCCCAUAUUGCGGGGAGGAAAAACAAGAUAACAAACAAGGAGAAGAGAAAGGAAGUGCUCCAUGUCUUGCUUAAUAUACAGUAUUUUAUUUUAUUUUUGUACUUCCAUUUACAGAUAGCAAGCCUGAGUGAUAAUACCUUAUGAUUGUUGUUGCUGUAGUAGCAGAUCGAUUUAAUUAACUGCUGUCUUUUACGAUGUAAAAGUUUAGUGUUCGUUCAUGAAUUGUAUUGAACUGCCCACUUCCAUGGCACUGGAAUUCAAUUCCACGCUAUCGACCCUGUGGUUUGGAUGGAAUUCGUCGUCGUCGUCACAUGAUUUUCCACAUAUAAUAAAGUCUUCUUUAUUUGGCUUAUUGUCCCA